rnacentral:rRNA from 1 species
UAGGGAAUCUUCCGCAAUGGGCGAAAGCCUGACGGAGCAACGCCGCGUGAGUGAUGAAGGUCUUCGGAUCGUAAAACUCUGUUAUUAGGGAAGAACAAAUGUGUAAGUAACUAUGCACGUCUUGACGGUACCUAAUCAGAAAGCCACGGCUAACUACGUGCCAGCAGCCGCGGUAAUACGUAGGUGGCAAGCGUUAUCCGGAAUUAUUGGGCGUAAAGCGCGCGUAGGCGGUUUUUUAAGUCUGAUGUGAAAGCCCACGGCUCAACCGUGGAGGGUCAUUGGAAACUGGAAAACUUGGGUGCAGAAGGGGAGAGUGGAAUUCCAUGUGUAGCGGUGAAAUGCGUAGAUAUAUGGAGGAACACCGGUGGCGAAAGCGGCUCUCUGGUCUGUAACUGACGCUGAGGCUCGAAAGCGUGGGGAGCGAACAGG